UACGUAGGGUGCAAGCGUUAAUCGGAAUUACUGGGCGUAAAGCGUGCGCAGGCGGUGAUGUAAGACAGUUGUGAAAUCCCCGGGCUCAACCUGGGAACUGCAUCUGUGACUGCAUCGCUGGAGUGCGGCAGAGGGGGAUGGAAUUCCGCGUGUAGCAGUGAAAUGCGUAGAGAUCCGGAGGAACCCCAGAGGCGAAGGCGGCAUCCUGGCCCACGACUGACACUCAGACACGACAGCAUGGGGAGCGAACGAG
rnacentral:rRNA from 1 species